AUUGAACGCUGGCGGCAGGCCUAACACAUGCAAGUCGAGCGAGCGGCGGACGGGUGAGUAAUGUAUGGGGAACUGCCCGAUAGAGGGGGAUAACUACUGGAAACGGUGGCUAAUACCGCAUACUAUCGGCUGAACCCAUAUGUGCUUAGCUAGUAGGUGGGUUAAAGGCUCACCUAGGCGACUAUCCCUAGCUGGUCUGAGAGGAUGAUGAGCCACACUGGAACUGAGACCCGGCCCAGACUCCUACGGGAGGCAGCAGUGGGGAAUAUUGCACAAUGGGCGCAAGCCUGAUUCAGCCAUGCCGCGUGUAUGAAGAAGGCCUUAGGGUUGUAAAGUACUUUCAGCGUGGAGGCGUUACCAUCAGAAGAAGCACCGGCUAACUCCGUGCCAGCAGCCGCGGUAAUUC
rnacentral:rRNA from 1 species